GGUUGAUCCUGCCGGACCUGACUGCUAUCGAGGUUGAUACUAAGAUCCAUGCGUGUCCCGCUAUUUGUGUUAGCAAUGAUCAAGGCAGCAGCAGCGCUCAGUAACGCGUAGUCAAUCUACCCUAUGGACGGGAAUAACCUCGGGAAACUGAGAAUAAUGCCCGAUAGAACAUUAUGCCUGGAAUGGUUUAUGUUUCAAAUGAUUUAUCGCCAUAGGAUGGGACUGCGGCCUAUCAGUUUGUUGGUGAGGUAAUGGCCCACCAAGACUAUUACAGGUACGGGCUCUGAGAGGAGUGGCCCGGAGAUGGGUACUGAGACACGGACCCAGGCCCUAUGGGGCGCAGCAGGCGAGAAAACUUUGCAAUGUGCGAAAGCACGACAAGGUUAAUCCGAGUGGUUUCUGCUAAAGAAACCUUUUGUCAGUCCUAGAAACACUAACGAAUAAGGGGUGGGCAAGUUCUGGUGUCGGCCGCCGCGGUAAAACCAGCACCUCAAGUGGUCAGGAUGAUUAUUGGGCCUAAAGCAUCCGUAGCUCGUUUUGUAAGUUUUCGGUUAAAUCCAUGCGCUUAACGUAUGGGCUGCCGGGAAUACUGCAUAACUAGGAAGUGGGAGAGGUAGACGGUACUCGGUAGGAAGGGGUAAAAUCCUUUGAUCUAUUGAUGACCACCUGUGGCGAAGGCGGUCUACCAGUACACGUUCGACGGUGAGGGAUGAAAGCUGGGGGAGCAAACCGGAUUAGAUACCCGGGUAGUCCCAGCUGUAAACUAUGCAAACUCAGUGAUGCAUUGGCUUGUGGCCAAUGCAGUGCUGCAGGGAAGCCGUUAAGUUUGCCGCCUGGGAAGUACGUACGCAAGUAUGAAACUUAAAGGAAUUGGCGGGGGAGCACCACAAGGGGUGAAGCCUGCGGUUCAAUGGAGUCAACGCCGGAAGGCGAUC
rnacentral:rRNA from 1 species